rnacentral:rRNA from 1 species
AGUGAACGCUGGCGGCAGGCCUAACACAUGCAAGUCGAGCGGCAGCGCGGGGGCAACCCUGGCGGCGAGCGGCGGACGGGUGAGUAAUUCGUCGGAAUCUGCCUUUUUGUUGGGGAUAACGUAGGGAAACUUACGCUAAUACCGCAUACGUCCUACGGGAGAAAGUGGGGGACCGCUAGGCCUCACGCAGAAAGAUGAGCCGACGACCGAUUAGCUAGUUGGUGGGGUAAAGGCCCACCAAGGCGACGAUCGGUAGCUGGUCUGAGAGGAUGAUCAGCCACACUGGAACUGAGACACGGCCCAGGCUCCUACGGGAGGCAGCAGUGGGGAAUAUUGGACAAUGGGCGCAAGCCUGAUCCAGCCAUGCCGCGUGUGUGAAGAAGGCCUUCGGGUUGUAAAGCACUUUUGUCAGGAAAGAAAUCCCUGGAGCUAAUACCUUCGGGGGAUGACGGUACCGGAAGAAUAAGCACCGGCUAACUUCGUG